UAUAUGUUUGGUAUGCCAUAUACUUCAGUUUACUCAAAUUCACGUAGUGAACACGAUUUGUAAUGAAGCUGGAGCAGGCAAAUAACCCAUUGGAGAAACAAGUCAAAGAAGGGUCGUAUAAAUUUCCGAACAACCUCUGGAAGAAUGUUAGCAGUGAAGCUAAGGAUCUUAUAACAAAACUGCUUACUGUUGGUCACAGAAAAUGCAUCACGGUUUCAGAAGCUCUGGAACAUCCUUGGAUGAAGGAUAAAGAAAUGAUAGAAAAAGCAGAAAAAAUGAUAAAACCGACCGUGGAUGGAAGAUCAAUGUCUCCGCCCUUAUAAAAGCUUUAGAACCCCAUCGAACAGGAAAGUCGGAAUUUAAAAG